rnacentral:tRNA from 3 species
GGGACUAUAGUUAAUAAUAACAUUUGAGUUGCAUUCAAAAAGUACUGCCUAUAACAGUUAGCCUCA